rnacentral:rRNA from 1 species
UACGUAGGGUGCAAGCGUUGUCCGGAAUUAUUGGGCGUAAAGAGCUCGUAGGCGGUUUGUCGCGUCUGCUGUGAAAACUCGGGGCUCAACUCCGAGCUUGCAGUGGGUACGGGCAGACUAGAGUGCGGUAGGGGAGACUGGAAUUCCUGGUGUAGCGGUGGAAUGCGCAGAGUAUCAGGAGGAACACCGGUGGCGAAGGCGGGUCUCUGGGCCGUAACUGACGCUGAGGAGCGAAAGCAUGGGGAGCGAACAGG